UGGGGCAUGCUACCAUGCAGUCGAGCGGCUGACGGACUUCGGUCUGGUAUUCAGUGGCGGACGGGUGAGUAAUGUAUCGGAACGUGCCCGGUAGUGGGGGAUAACUUUUCGAAAGGGAAGCUAAUACCGCAUACGCCCUACGGGGGAAAGCGGGGGAUCUUCAGACCUUGCGCUAUUGGAUGGGCCUAUGUCGGAUUAGCUAGUUGGUGGGGUAACGGCUCACCAAGGCGACGAUCCGUAACUGGUUUGAGAGGACGACCACCCACACUGGAACUGAGACACGGUCCAGACUCCUACGGGAGGCAUAGUGGGGAAUUUUGGACGAUGGGCGAAACCCUGAUCCAGCCAUCCCGCGUGUGAGAAGAAGGCCUUCGAGUUGUCAAUCACUG
rnacentral:rRNA from 1 species